GAUGAACGCUGGCGGCGUGCUUAAUACAUGCAAGUCGAACGGGAUGUUAGAAAUAGCAUUUAGUGGCGAACGGGUGAGUAACGCGUUGGUGACCUGCCCCGAAGAGAGGGAUAACAGUUCGAAAGGACUGCUAAUACCGCAUGAGAUCUACUUAGUUAGAGAGGGUAGAUGAAAGGCGAAAGCCGCUUUGGGAGGGGCCUGCGUCCCAUCAGCUAGUUGGUAAGGUAAAGGCUUACCAAGGCGAAGACGGGUAGGGGACCUGAGAGGGUGGCCCCCCACACUGGCACUGAAACACGGGCCAGACACCUACGGGAGGCAG
rnacentral:rRNA from 1 species